rnacentral:lncRNA from 1 species
UCAUGGAGGAAAAUAGGUGCAAAAAAAUAAGUGGGCGUGGGGCCUCCUUAUGGCGCAAGAAGAGAUGGAGUCCUAGUCACCUGGGACUCCUAUUUAUGUAGCUGAUUUAAAUCAAAUAAAAUUUUAAUCAAUCAUAAUCGAAUUAAAAAUUGAUUAGAUCCAAAUAAAUUAAAAUUCUAAUCUAAUUAGGAGUCUAAACUAUCUAGAUU